GCGUGCUCCGGGCGUCGGCCU
rnacentral:sRNA from 1 species